GACGAACGCUGGCGGCGUGCUUAACACAUGCAAGUCGAACGGAAAGGCUCCAGCUUGCUGGAGUACUCGAGUGGCGAACGGGUGAGUAACACGUGGGUAAUCUGCCCUGCACUCUGGGAUAAGCCUGGGAAACUGGGUCUAAUACUGGAUAUGACCUUUCUCCUUAUGGGGUUUGGUGGAAAGUUUUUCGGUGUAGGAUGAGCCCGCGGCCUAUCAGCUUGUUGGUGGGGUUAUGGCCUACCAAGGCGACGACGGGUAGCCGGCCUGAGAGGGUGAUCGGCCACAUUGGGACUGAGAUACGGCCCAGACUCCUACGGAAGGCAGCAGUGGGGAAUAUUGCACAAUGGGCGGAAGCCUGAUGCAGCGACGCCGCGUGAGGGAUGACGGCCUUCGGGUUGUAAACCUCUUUCAGCAGGGACGAAGCGUAAGUGACGGUACCUGCAGAAGAAGCACCGGCUAACUACGUG
rnacentral:rRNA from 1 species